GGAAAACUUACCAGGUCAAAACUAUGGCGGGAUUGACAGAUUGAUAGCUCUUUCUUGAUUCGUGGGGUGGUGGUGCAUGGCCGUUCUUAGUUGGUGGAGUGAUUUGGCUUAAUUUGACUCAACGCGGGAAAUCUCACCAGGCCCGGACACUGGAAGGAUUGACAGAUUGAUAGCUCUUUCUUGUUAGCAAUAA
rnacentral:rRNA from 1 species